GCAGGACCUCUACUAGCACAGGAUGUCCA
rnacentral:piRNA from 1 species